UGCAAGUCGAGGGGCAGCAUGGUCUUAGCUUGCUAAGGCCGAUGGCGACCGGCGCACGGGUGAGUAACACGUAUCCAACCUGCCGUCUACUCUUGGACAGCCUUCUGAAAGGAAGAUUAAUACAAGAUGGCAUCAUGAGUCCGCAUGUUCACAUGAUUAAAGGUAUUCCGGUAGACGAUGGGGAUGCGUUCCAUUAGAUAGUAGGCGGGGUAACGGCCCACCUAGUCUUCGAUGGAUAGGGGUUCUGAGAGGAAGGUCCCCCACAUUGGAACUGAGACACGGUCCAAACUCCUACGGGAGGCAGCAGUGAGGAAUAUUGGUCAAUGGGCGCAGGCCUGAACCAGCCAAGUAGCGUGAAGGAUGACUGCCCUAUGGGUUGUAAACUUCUUUUAUAAAGGAAUAAAGUCGGGUAUGUAUACCCGUUUGCAUGUACUUUAUGAAUAAGGAUCGGCUAACUCCGUGCCAGCAGCCGCGGUAAUACGGAGGAUCCGAGCGUUAUCCGGAUUUAUUGGGUUUAAAGGGAGCGUAGAUGGAUGUUUAAGUCAGUUGUGAAAGUUUGCGGCUCAACCGUAAAAUUGCAGUUGAUACUGGAUAUCUUGAGUGCAGUUGAGGCAGGCGGAAUUCGUGGUGUAGCGGUGAAAUGCUUAGAUAUCACGAAGAACUCCGAUUG
rnacentral:rRNA from 1 species